CCCUAGUAACUGCGAGUGAAGCGGGAAAAGCUCAAAUUUAAAAGCUGGCGGUCUUUGGCCGUCCGCAUUGUAAUCUAGAGAAGUGUUACCCGCGUUGGACCGUGUACAAGUCUCCUGGAAUGGAGCGUCAUAGAGGGUGACAAUCCCGUCUUUGACACGGACUCCCAAGGCUUUGUGGUGCGCUCUCAAAGAGUCGAGUUGUUUGGGAAUGCAGCUCUAAAUGGGUGGUAAAUUCCAUCUAAAGCUAAAUAUUGGCGAGAGACCGAUAGCGAACAAGUACCGUGAGGGAAAGAUGAAAAGAACUUUGGAAAGAGAGUUAAACAGUACGUGAAAUUGCUGAAAGGGAAACGCUUGAAGGUCAGUCGCGUCGUCCGGAGAUCAACCUUGCUUUUGCUGGGCGUACUCUCCCGGUUGACGGGCCAGCAUCAGUUUUGGCCACUGGAAAAGGACGGAGGAAAUGUGGCAUCCUCGGAUGUGUUAUAGUCUUCCGUCGUAUACAGUGGCUGGGACUGAGGAACUCAGCACGCCGCAAGGCCGGGAUUUAUCCACGUACGUGCUUAGGAUGCUGGCAUAAUGGCUUUAAUCGACCCGUCUUGAAACACGGACCAAGGAGUCUAACAUGCCUGCGAGUGUUUGGGUGGAAAACCCGAGCGCGUAAUGAAAGUGAAAGUUGAGAUCCCUGUCGUGGGGAGCAUCGACGCCCGGACCAGACCUUUUGUGACGGAUCUGCGGUAGAGCAUGUAUGUUGGGACCC
rnacentral:rRNA from 1 species